AACGAGGCCGACCUGCGGCUGAGUUACCUGCGGAGGGAUCAUUACUGAAUUGAUUUUGGGGAUGUUGCUGGUCUCUUGAGGCAAUGGUGCACUCCCUCAAACAUUUCACAAUUUCCAUCUCACCCAUGUGCACAUCCUGUAGGUGGUCUCCCAACCCCCCCCCCCACCUUUCCUUGGGGGAGUGUGUGGGUCUGGUCUCCUAUGUAUUUCCUUGCCAACAUCACACGUUUUGACUGGAUG
rnacentral:misc_RNA from 1 species